UACGAAGGGGGCUAGCGUUGUUCGGAAUCACUGGGCGUAAAGCGCACGUAGGCGGACCGUUAAGUCGGAGGUGAAAGCCUGGGGCUCAACCCCAGAACUGCCUUCGAUACUGACGGCCUUGAGUGUGGGAGAGGUUGGUGGAACUCCGAGUGUAGAGGUGAAAUUCGUAGAUAUUCGGAAGAACACCAGUGGCGAAGGCGGCCAACUGGCCCAUUACUGACGCUGAGGUGCGAAAGCGUGGGGAGCAAACAGG
rnacentral:rRNA from 1 species